GAGAGUGAAGUGGGUGUGAUUGAAAGUGGUGUUGGCUGAUUGCUGAGUGCAUGUAGAAUUGGAGAGGUCCGACCGCGACAGAAUCAUAGUCUGGCUGAUUUGGUCCAGUUGGAUGACUCUAUAACUCAGCGAGUUAAUCGUUAGAAGAGUGAUGGAAUCGUCGACACAAGUUAGUUGGAAACCAGGAAAGCCGCAGGAGGCAGGACGUGGGCCGCCAGAGAAAGGGUAGUA
rnacentral:misc_RNA from 1 species